rnacentral:rRNA from 1 species
GACGAACGCUGGCGGCGUGCUUAACACAUGCAAGUCGGACGGAAAGGCCCCUUUGGGGGUACUCGAGUGGCGAACGGGUGAGUAACACGUGAGUAACCUUCCCUUGACUUCGGGAUAACUUCAGGAAACUGGGGCUAAUACCGGAUAGGAAUCCUUGCUGCAUGGUGGGGGUUGGAAAGCUUCGGCGGUUUUGGAUGGACUCGCGGCUUAUCAGCUUGUUGGUGGGGUAGUGGCUUACCAAGGCUUUGACGGGUAGCCGGCCUGAGAGGGCGACCGGCCACAUUGGGACUGAGAUACGGCCCAGACUCCUACGGGAGGCAGCAGUGGGGAAUAUUGCACAAGGGGCGGAAGCCUGAUGCAGCAACGCCGCGUGCGGGAUGACGGCCUUCGGGUUGUAAACCGCUUUCAGCAGGGGCGAAGCUUGUGGUGACGGUACCUGCAGAAGAAGCACCGGCUAACUACGUG